UACGAAGGGUGCAAACGUUGCUCGGAAUUACUGGGCGUAAAGCGCACGUAGGCGGCUUUCUAAGUCGGGGGUGAAAUCCUGGAGCUCAACUCCAGAACUGCCUUCGAUACUGGAAAGCUCGAGUCCGGGAGAGGUGAGUGGAACUGCGAGUGUAGAGGUGAAAUUCGUAGAUAUUCGCAAGAACACCAGUGGCGAAGGCGGCUCACUGGCCCGGUACUGACGCUGAGGUGCGAAAGCGUGGGGAGCAAACAGG
rnacentral:rRNA from 1 species